rnacentral:SRP_RNA from 1 species
GCCAGGCGUGGUGGUGGGCGCCUGUAAUCCCAGCUGCUCGGGAGGCUGAGGCAGGAGAAUUGCUUGGACCUAGGAGGUAGAGGUUGCAGUGAGCCGAGAUCAUGCCACUGCACUCCAGCCUGGUGACAGACUGAGACUCCAUCUCAAACAAACAAAAAAAAAUAUUUUUAUUGUUUUUAUUUAUUUUACUUUAUUUUAUUUAUUUUUUUGAGACGGGAGUCUUGGCUCUCUCAGCCUGGCUGGAGUGCAGUGGCACAACCUCGGCUCACUGCAACCUCCACCUCCCAGGUCCAAGCAAUUCUCCUGCCUCAG